rnacentral:rRNA from 1 species
UUCCGGUUGAUCCUGCCGGACCUGACUGCUAUCGGAUUGAUACUAAGCCAUGCGAGUCAUUGUAGCAAUACAAGGCAGACGGCUCAGUAACGCGUAGUCAACCUAACCUAUGGAUGGGAAUAACCUCGGGAAACUGAGAAUAAUGCCCAAUAGAACACUAUGCCUGGAAUGGUUUGUGUUCCAAAUGAUUUAUCGCCGUAGGAUGGGACUGCGGCCUAUCAGUUUGUUGGUGAGGUAAUGGCCCACCAAGACUAUUACAGGUACGGGCUUUGAGAGGAGUAGCCCGGAGAUGGGUACUGAGACACGGACCCAGGCCCUAUGGGGCGCAGCAGGCGAGAAAACUUUGCAAUGUGCGAAAGCACGACAAGGUUAAUCCGAGUGAUUUGUGCUAAGCGAAUCUUUUGUUAGUCCUAGAAACACUAACGAAUAAGGGGUGGGCAAGUUCUGGUGUCAGCCGCCGCGGUAAAACCAGCACCUCAAGUGGUCAGGAUGAUUAUUGGGCCUAAAGCAUCCGUAGCCGGCUCUGUAAGUUUUCGGUUAAAUCUGUAUGCUCAACAUACAGGCUGCCGGGAAUACUGCAGAGCUAGGGAGUGGGAGAGGUAGACGGUACUCGGUAGGAAGGGGUAAAAUCCUUUGAUCUAUUGAUGACCACCUGUGGCGAAGGCGGUCUACCAGAACACGUCCGACGGUGAGGGAUGAAAGCUGGGGGAGCAAACCGGAUUAGAUACCCGGGUAGUCCCAGCUGUAAACUAUGCAAACUCAGU